rnacentral:rRNA from 1 species
GCACAAGCGGUGGAGCAUUGUGGUUUAAUUCGAAGCAACGCGAAGAACCUUACCAGGUCUUGACAUCCCCUGACAACCAAGAGAUUGGGCGUUCCCCUUCGGGGGACAGGGUGACAGGUGGUGCAUGGUUGUCGUCAGCUCGUGUCGUGAGAUGUUGGGUUAAGUCCCGCAACGAGCGCAACCCUCGCCUCUAGUUGCCAGCAUUCGGUUGGGCACCCUAGAGGGACUGCCGGCGACAAGUCGGAGGAAGGUGGGGAUGACGUCAAGUCAUCAUGGCCCUUACGGCCAGGGCUACACACGUGCUACAAUGGUCGGUACAAAGGGUUGCCAAGCCGCGAGGUGGAGCUAAUCCCAUAAAACCGAUCGUAGUCCGGAUCGCAGUCUGCAACUCGACUGCGUGAAGUCGGAAUCGCUAGUAAUCGUGAAUCAGAAUGUCACGGUGAAUACGUUCCCGGGCCUU